rnacentral:rRNA from 1 species
AGCAGCCGCCGCGGGAAUACGUAGGUCCCGAGCGUUGUCCGGAUUUAUUGGGCGUAAAGCGCGCGCAGGUGGUUUAAUAAGUCUGAUGCGAAAGCCCACGGCUCAACCGUGGAGGGUCGUUGGAAACUGUUAAACUUGAGUGCAGGAGAGAAAAGUGGAAUUCCUAGUGUAGCGGUGAAAUGCGUAGAGAUUAGGAGGAACACCAGUGGCGAAGGCGGCUUUUUGGCCUGUAACUGACACUGAGGCGCGGAAGCGUGGGGAGCAAACAGGAUUAGAUACCCCAGUAGUCCCUGUCUCUUAUAC